UACAGAGGUGGCAAGCGUUGUUCGGAAUUACUGGGCGUAAAGGGCGCGUAGGCGGCCUUCUAAGUCAGACGUGAAAUCCCCCGGCUUAACCUGGGAACUGCAUCUGAUACUGGAUGGCUUGAGUUCGGGAGAGGGAUGCGGAAUUCCAGGUGUAGCGGUGAAAUGCGUAGAUAUCUGGAGGAACACCGGUGGCGAAGGCGGCAUCCUGGACCGACACUGACGCUGAGGAGCGAAAGCCAGGGGAGCAAACGGG
rnacentral:rRNA from 1 species